rnacentral:rRNA from 1 species
GACGUAGGGCGCGAGCGUUGUCCGGAUUUAUUGGGCGUAAAGAGCUCGUAGGCGGCUUGUCGCGUCGACCGUGAAAACUUGGGGCUCAACCCCAAGCCUGCGGUCGAUACGGGCAUCACUAGAGUUCGGCAGGGGAGACUGGAAUUCCUGGUGUAGCGGUGAAAUGCGCAGAUAUCAGGAGGAACACCGGUGGCGAAGGCGGGUCUCUGGGCCGAUGACUGACGCUGAGGAGCGAAAGCAUGGGUAGCGAACAGG